rnacentral:rRNA from 1 species
GAUGAACGCUGGCGGCGUGCCUAACACAUGCAAGUCGAACGAAGCAUCCCAUAGGAAGUUUUCGGAUGGAAUAUGGGAUGACUGAGUGGCGGACGGGUGAGUAACGCGUGGAUAACCUGCCUCACACUGGGGGAUAACAGUUAGAAAUGGCUGCUAAUACCGCAUAAGCGCACAGUACCGCAUGGUACGGUGUGAAAAACCCAGGUGGUGUGAGAUGGAUCCGCGUCUGAUUAGCUGGUUGGUGAGGUAACGGCUCACCAAGGCGACGAUCAGUAGCCGGCUUGAGAGAGUGAACGGCCACAUUGGGACUGAGACACGGCCCAAACUCCUACGGGAGGCAGCAGUGGGGAAUAUUGCACAAUGGGGGAAACCCUGAUGCAGCGACGCCGCGUGAGUGAAGAAGUAUCUCGGUAUGUAAAGCUCUAUCAGCAGGGAAGAAAAUGACGGUACCUGACUAAGAAGCCCCGGCUAACUACGUGCCAGCAGCCGCGGUAAUACGUAGGGGGCAAGCGUUAUCCGGAAUUACUGGGUGUAAAGGGUGCGUAGGUGGUAUGGCAAGUCAGAAGUGAAAACCCAGGGCUUAACUCUGGGACUGCUUUUGAAACUGUCAGACUGGAGUGCAGGAGAGGUAAGCGGAAUUCCUAGUGUAGCGGUGAAAUGCGUAGAUAUUAGGAGGAACAUCAGUGGCGAAGGCGGCUUACUGGACUGAAACUGACACUGAGGC